rfam:Stegodyphus mimosarum contig90573, whole genome shotgun sequence.
GCGUUCGUUGUGUAGUGGUCAGCACGCUCGACGCGUAACCGAGAGGUCCGUGGUUCGAUUCCCGGCAAAGGCG